UACGAAGGGGGCUAGCGUUGCUCGGAAUCACUGGGCGUAAAGCGCACGUAGGCGGCUUUCUAAGUCAGGGGUGAAAUCCUGGAGCUCAACUCCAGAACUGCCUUUGAUACUGGAAAGCUUGAGUUCGGGAGAGGUGAGUGGAACUGCGAGUGUAGAGGUGAAAUUCGUAGAUAUUCGCAAGAACACCAGUGGCGAAGGCGGCUCACUGGCCCGAUACUGACGCUGAGGUGCGAAAGCGUGGGGG
rnacentral:rRNA from 1 species